UACGGGGGGAGCAAGCGUUGUUCGGAUUUACUGGGCGUAAAGGGCGCGUAGGCGGCCACCGCAAGUCGUUGUGAAAUCUCUGGGCUUAACCCAGAAAGGUCAACCGAUACUGCGGGGCUAGAGUGCAGAAGGGGCAACUGGAAUUCUCGGUGUAGCGGUGAAAUGCGUAGAUAUCGAGAGGAACACCUGCGGCGAAGGCGGGUGCUGGGCUGACACUGACGCUGAUGCGCGAAAGCUAGGGGAGCGAACGGG
rnacentral:rRNA from 1 species